rnacentral:rRNA from 1 species
ACAAUGGAGAGUUUGAUCCUGGCUCAGGAUGAACGCUAGCUACAGGCUUAACACAUGCAAGUCGAGGGGAAACGAUAUUGGAAGCUUGCUUCCGAUAGGCGUCGACCGGCGCACGGGUGAGUAACGCGUAUCCAACCUGCCCAUCACUUGGGGAUAACCUUGCGAAAGUAAGACUAAUACCCAAUGAUAUCUCUAGAAGACAUCUGAAAGAGAUUAAAGAUUUAUCGGUGAUGGAUGGGGAUGCGUCUGAUUAGCUUGUUGGCGGGGUAACGGCCCACCAAGGCUACGAUCAGUAGGGGUUCUGAGAGGAAGGUCCCCCACAUUGGAACUGAGACACGGUCCAAACUCCUACGGGAGGCAGCAGUGAGGAAUAUUGGUCAAUGGACGAGAGUCUGAACCAGCCAAGUAGCGUGCAGGAUGACGGCCCUAUGGGUUGUAAACUGCUUUUAUAAGGGAAUAAAGUGAGUCUCGUGAGACUUUUUGCAUGUACCUUAUGAAUAAGGACCGGCUAAUUCCGUG